UACGGAGGGUGCAAGCGUUAUCCGGAUUCACUGGGUUUAAAGGGUGCGUAGGUGGGCAGGUAAGUCAGUGGUGAAAUCUCCGGGCUUAACCCGGAAACUGCCAUUGAUACUAUUAGUCUUGAAUGUCGUGGAGGUAAGCGGAAUAUGUCAUGUAGCGGUGAAAUGCUUAGAUAUGACUUAGAACACCGAUAGCGUAGGCAGCUUGCUACACGAAUAUUGACACUGAGGCACGAAAGCGUGGGGAUCAAACAGG
rnacentral:rRNA from 1 species